UACGUAGGGUGCAAGCGUUGUCCGGAAUUAUUGGGCGUAAAGAGCUCGUAGGCGGUUUGUCGCGUCUGCUGUGAAAACUCGGGGCUUAACUCCGGGCCUGCAGUGGGUACGGGCAGACUAGAGUGCGGUAGGGGAGACUGGAAUUCCUGGUGUAGCGGUGAAAUGCGCAGAUAUCAGGAGGAACACCGGUGGCGAAGGCGGGUCUCUGGGCCGUAACUGACGCUGAGGCGCGAAAGCUAGGGAGCGAACGGG
rnacentral:rRNA from 1 species